UGAAGCGAUACUACGUACAUUCUUUUGAAUGUGCACACGGAAUAGCUUUUUAACAUUUAUAAUCAUAUUUAUUUUGUAAUGAGUAUAAAUGUAAAAUCUAAUACUAACUAAUGACGACUGUUAACUGCUGUGAAAUUCUGUAUGGGCUGGAUAUAAGAAAUGAGGUGUGGCUGUUUGCUGGAAGACCUAGAGGCCGACUUGCCAGUUUUAGGUAAAUCAUUAUUGGUUACCCUGGCACUGUCUAAUGGUCUGGGGACAAGAAAAAAAGAAGAAAAAAAAAGAAGAUAUAUAUUAAUAAAGCACCAAGCUGGG